GCUGUAAGCAGUAGAAUUAGUCAUGCUUCAUUAUUCACAGAUUUCAUAUUUGCAAAUUCCCCUGCACACCCCAAAAUCAAUACUUGUGGUGCUUUCUCAUUUAUUCUCAGCUGAAGUCAAGUAAGGGUACAUACUCCAGAAAGGGGAUGGAAAUAGGAUAGGCAGUGGAUAUUUAAGCUGGGGGUUUAAGGACAGGUAGAAGUUCCCCAGGUAUAAGUUAUGAAUCAGACAUACUUUCCUAUAUUCAUUUAUGAAUACAUGACCAAUAUAACUGCACAUAGUGUAUAAUCACAAGAAUGGGAAGCUAUACUCAAGGUAUAUAUAAUAUGUCAAAAUACAUUGUACUGUCAUGUACAACUAAAAAGAGCAAAUAAAUUUUUUUUUUAUAAAAAAUAAGGGGGCUGGGGAUAUGGCUCAAGCUGUAGCAUGCUGGCCUGGCAUGCGUGUGGCCCGGAUUUG
rnacentral:lncRNA from 1 species